CGUCCAACACGAUGUCUCUUGCCAGGUCGUGCCCUCUGCUUCCACUACAUUGGAUUAUCGGCUGGUUGAUGCUCGCGUUAGCACCAGCACCUUGUUCGCGCUCGAUUGCCGCCGCCGCCGUAGUGCGUGCACCCCCAAACAUGGCUGAGGUCGAUCCACACCCAACUCCCGCCGCCCACCUGUGGACAUGGCUGAGAUCGGUCCGCACACUUCCGCCGCCAUGCGCCAAAGCUGCGCCCAACCACGGAUGUGUCGGGGUUCGCACCGGGCCCAGCUCCCGCCCCGCUCGCUCCAAGUCCACUGCCAAGGAUGCCAGCUAUCGAGCCUGCUCCACGUACGACGCCAUGGUCGCCCACACCAGUGCCCUAUUCAACUCCACAAUGAAGCUCGUCAACAUCAGCAACAAAAUGGGG
rnacentral:misc_RNA from 1 species